rnacentral:lncRNA from 1 species
UGAGCCCUGCGCACGCGGGAAGGGCUGCCGGAGGCGCCCGUAGGGAGGCGCGCGCGCGGGCGGCUCAGGGCCCGCGUUCCUCUCCCUCCCGCCUACCGCCACUUUCCCGCCCUGUGUGCGCCCCCACCCCCACCACCAUCUUCCCACCCUCAGCGCGGGCGCCCCGCGGUGACGGCCCAGGGGCCGGACGCCUGGAACGCAACUCCAGGCAGCUCGCCCCCUAGCUACAUCCGUCACCUGACACGGCCCUACCAGGAACAGCCGCGCUCCCGCGGAUUCUGGUGCUGCUCGCGUCCCCGCUCCCCUAUUCCCCUUAUUUUAUUCCUGGCUCCCCUCGUCGAAAGUCUUCCAUUCUUCAAACUAGAUUAUUUAAAAAUGAAAAAGGAAGAAAGGAAAGCGAGGUCAUCUCAUUGCUCUAUCCGCCAAUCAGGAGGCUGAAUGUCAGUUUUGAACUAAAAGCCGCUCCGCUCCUCUUCUAGAUUUGGAAAACAAGCGAAAUUAAACUAAACCGCUGCACGCCUCUGACGCGACAUCUGGACACGGCGCGGCGCUGGCGCUGCCGGAGCUGUCGACCCGGCCUGGCGCCGGACUAGUGUCCCUUUUGAUGAGAAGAAUAAGCCUCAUUCUGAUUCAACAGCAGAGAUCAAAGAAAAGACUUCUGUUUUCUGGCCACCAGAUAUAUGUUAUCUGUGCUUAAAGAAUUGAAAAACACACAUCAAAGGAGAAUUUUCUUGGAAAGAGAGGGUUCAAGCAUCACUGUUAGGUGUGCUGGAAUCCUUUCCCGAGUCAGUACUGCUUUCUAGAAGAAAACCGGGGAGAUCUAUUUGGAAUGUAUCUAACUCCAAAGAAACCAUCAGAGGUAACAGUAGAGACGGGGUUUCACCAUGUUGGCCAGACUGGUCUUGAACUCUCGACCUCGUGAUUCGCCCGCCUCGGCCUCCCAAAGUGCUGGGAUUACAGGUGUGAGACACCACACCCGGCGGAUAGAGAGAAUUUUGACAGGCUUUGGUAUCAGGAUGAUUCUGGCCUCAUAAAAUGAGUUGGGGAGAAUUCCCUCUUUUUCUAUUGAAUGGAAUAGUUUCAGAAGGAAUGGUACCAGCUCCUCUUUGUACCUCUGGUAGAAUUCGGCUGUGAAUCCAUCUGGUCCUGGACUUUUUUUGGUUGGUACCAGAGAUAUAAUAAUGAGAAACAGACAUGCUCCCUCCCCUCAUUGAGGUUACAGCUUAGUGUGGAGACACACAGAUGCCUAACGCACUAUGGUAUGGAAGGUGCUAUGGACACAGUGCUCAAAUCCAUGAUCUACAUAGGUGGAGAACUUCAGUAGAGGAAGUGGCAGGAAUUUGGGAAUGAGGAGCACAGUGAUUAAACUGGGGCCAUUCAUAUGAGAGUUUAAGAACUCAGACCAGUGACUUAGAUUGGCUUCUCUCACAUGGCAAGAAACAUUGCUGCUAGCACUUCCCGAGUUCUACGUUCUACAACAUCCACCACUGCUAUGUCUCACAGUCCAGACUUGGAGUACAAGUAAUAAGAAGAAUAAAACUUAAUCCCUUAAGUAGAUUCACCAUAAGUUAGCUCAGAGCAAUUCCAGUGCAAGUAUGGUCUGUGAUCCAGUAGUAUCUUACAGACAGCAAGUUGAACAUUGUGGGAUGCAUGAGCUAUUGAGGCCUUUGCAGCUUUCUGCUACAUGGAGGCUAGGGCCAGAGUCAAGAUUUAUGCUUUGCAGCACACUGGUCAGCUGUUUUUGCAAAUCAGAUUAAAUGAUUUUUAAAUGAGGCUGAGAGCAUGGGAGAUACUAAUGUGUGUUUCCUUGUGAGCUACUGCAUAAGUUAGGAAAUUGAAAUACAGAAAGAUGAAAAGUGAUUUGCCCAAGCAUAUAGAUCAAAGCUGUGGCAGAACCAGGACUGGAACCUAUAUCUCUCUACUAAUGGUUUUUUUAAAAAAAUAACCUUGUUUCAAAAAUAUUAAAAAGUCACAAGAAAGGUAAACAUGUGGAUAAACAAAAUGAAGAAAAUAAAAAUUAUCCAGUAAUAACAUAUUGGCAUAUGUCUUUCUGGUAUAUUUUCCUGUGUUGUCAUCAUUAUCAUCUCCAUCAUCAUUAUAUCCAUCAUUAUCAUCAU